GUAGUCAAAACAGCCCGAUGAGCCUUAGAUGCCUGUUUUGCUGGCGUCAGAAGGAUUGAGAGGUAGAAAAACAACUUGAAGUGCUUCAGGACAAGCAGGAAGUUGGUAUUCUGGAUCUUCUCUACCUUCUCCCCAAGUGUUGCAUCUGGCAGUUGAUGUUGCUGUAGAAGAAUUGAAGUCCUCCUUGUGGGAAGCAGAGGAGAUGCAAGGGACAUUCUGUUGAUCAUCUGCCUGGGAUGAAAGCAAAAAUGGUCACUCAAGAGCUAAAAAGGAAUGCAGGGAGAAAGAGGUUGGGCCACUAUUAAGAAGAGCCAAGGCAUGUGGAUAGCAAAACUCACUGGGGAAAAAUAACCAACAAACCAAAGGCAGACAAGAGUGACUUCAUCAUUUCAUAGGCUGUUUACUUUUGGCAGCUUUUCUCAUUUUGAGUUUUGAGUUGCAAAAAUUUUGUUUACUAUGCUGGCUAGGAAUUAUGGGAAAUGUAGUCCUAACAUAGUGUGAUGGU